rnacentral:tRNA from 1 species
CAGAUUAUAUUUUAAAAAAAAUUUUUCUUUUACAUAGAAAAGAUAGAUGUUUAUUCAUUUUGAUUUGA